GACGAACGCUGGCGGCGUGCUUAACACAUGCAAGUCGAACGGAAAGGCCCUGCUUUUGUGGGGUGCUCGAGUGGCGAACGGGUGAGUAACACGUGAGUAACCUGCCCUUGACUUUGGUAUAACUUCAGGAAACUGGGGCUAAUCCCGUAUAGGAGCUCCUGCUGCAUGGUGGGGGUUGGAACGUUUCGGCGGUUGGGGAUGGACUCGCGGCUUAUGAGCUUGUUGGUGGGGUAGUGGCUUACCAAGGCUUUGACGGGUAGCCGGCCUGAGAGGGUGACCGGCCACAUUGGGACUGAGAGACGGCGCAGUCUCCUACGGGAGGCAGUAGGGGGGAGUAUUGCACAGUGGGCGGAAGCCUGAGGCAGCAACGCCGCGGGCGGGAUGACGGCCUGCGGGUUGUAAACCGCUUUCGCCUGUGACGAAGCGUGAGUGACGGUAAUGGGUAAAGAAGCACCGGCUAACUACGUG
rnacentral:rRNA from 1 species